rnacentral:misc_RNA from 1 species
GGUGUUUUGGGUUCAUGAGUUUCAAUUGGUAGCAGGGGAGGCUGUCUUGGAUAGAUAGAUUAAACAUGCUAUGUGGUUCAUGGAUUUCUCCAAGAGAGAUGAGGUCCCCUUUAGAAGGAAACUUUGUGAAGUUUCAAUUUAUGCGUAACAACUCUUACCUCCACCAGUAACUACGUACUUCUUGUAGUGGCAAACUGUCUCUCUAUAGUUUCUCCCUUAGACAUUUUGCUAAUAAUAAGGUUGUAAGAUCCAUCAUGAGCAAAAUUUGAUUUUGAGUAAGGGACUAGUAGUAACUUGCAA